rnacentral:rRNA from 1 species
AUUGAACGCUGGCGGCAGGCCUAACACAUGCAAGUCGAGCGGAGCGGCGGACGGGUGAGUAAUGCCUAGGAAUCUGCCUGGUAGUGGGGGAUAACGUCCGGAAACGGGCGCUAAUACCGCAUACUAUCAGAUGAGACUAGGUCGGAUUAGCUAGUUGAUGGGGUAAAGGCCUACGAAGGCGACGAUCCGUAACUGGUCUGAGAGGAUGAUCAGUCACACGUGAGCUGAGACACGGUCCAGAAUCCUACGGGAGGCAGCAGUGGGGAAUAUUGGACAAUGGGCGAAAGCCUGAUCCAGCCAAGCCGCGUGUGUGAAGAAGGUCAUCGGAUUGUAAAGCACUUUAAGUUGGGAGGCGUUACCAACAGAAUAAGCUCCGGCUAACUUCGUGCCAGCGGCCGCGGUAAUUC